UACGUAGGUGGCAAGCGUUUGUCCGGAUUUAUUGGGUUUAAAGGGUGCGUAGGCGGCCUUGUAAGUCAGUGGUGAAAUACUCCAGCUUAACUGGAGGGGUGCCAAUGAUACUGCAGGGCUUGAGUACAGAUGAGGUAGGCGGAAUUGACGGUGUAGCGGUGAAAUGCAUAGAUAUCGUCAAGAACACCUAUAGCGAAGGCAGCUUACUGGGCUGUAACUGACGCUGAGGCACGAAAAGUGUGGGGGAUCAAACAGG
rnacentral:rRNA from 1 species